GUUUUUUUGUGUGUGUUUAGAGUCCCCAAACAUAUGUGCCUUAUUAAAGUGCUGCCCAUUUCAUAGGCUUUAUCUUGCACUGGAUGAUCUCUGGUGGUAGGGAUAUUCAAGCUGCUUUAUACAUUUAGUUGUCCCUGAGUGUCUUUUUGACAGUCUGUUCCAGAUUCUAAUGAUUUUACAUUAAGAUUCAGGGACUCGGUAAUCUCUCCCCUCCCAGUCCCCAACAACAAUAGAAAUAUCAACUCUUCAGCCCUAAAUCAAACACAAAUCUCUCUGAAAUCCUCACCUGGAGCCAUCUUUCAUAGGUCUCUUUUCCCUGUGACUGCUGCAAUCCAUGGGAUCUGCAGUAGUCUUCCUGCUGGAGAAAAUAAAAACAGAUGACAUGAAUCAGGACCUCUUCUUGACAGGAACGAGGUGGAGGGGCUGCUCUCGGACAGCAGGUACACCAUAAAUUGCUGGUUAAGCCUCGCCAACAUUUCUGCAGACGCAUUGGGCUGUGGGAGGUUUGGGCUGCUCCAUUCUUCCACAUUGGUUAUCGUCUUUCAUUUCUUUUACACCUGAUACCAUGUGGUUUACAGAAAUCUCUCUGGACCCAAUAAACCAUGGAAGUGAGCCUCCUUAUUCUGUUUUCUUUCUUCUCCUGCCCUUCUUCAUUCAUUUCCUGGCUCUAAAGCUAAGCAACCAAAUCCCCCAGGGUUCCCUGGUAAGCAAAGGGCAGCCAGAAAUGGCAGGAAAAAGGGUCCUGCCCGAGCGCAAAAGGAAAGGGAAGGAGAGAGAGGAGUCCCCAGACCUCUUCGAGGGGAACAGGUCUGCCUGUCUGCAGCACUCCCGGGCUCUAUUACACACAAGGCGAGUAAAAGACAGGGAAAACCAGAAUUUAUAUAGCCAGGGAUCUGCAUCCCUUCAGGAAACAGUUCAUGCGCUUCUUCUUGGGGCCAGCUAGCGGCACUGGGAGGUUUGUUGUUACCCAGCCUGCAGGCCCUGACAGGCUCUGUCAACGCUGGGCUCCUCUUCUCACUUCCCUUGUGCCAGUCCCCUGGGUGCACCUGCAGGAGGAGCACGGCUGAGUGGACAGAGCAGCUGCCCACAGCCCUGCACAGGCUGAUGAGCCCUGCUUUGCCUCACCGGCGCGGCGCUGAUGGAACACGUGCAGCAACAACCAGCUCCUAAGAAGGACAAAUCCCCAGGCCUGGUUACUAGGGAUCCCACUGAUCGUAUUCCCCUGCCCUUCCAGCUCACGUGCAGGUCCCAAACAAACGGCAGCACAUGCUGAUUCGGAGUGGCAGGCGUGCUGCUGGCCAGCUGGCUGCUGCUGCUUCUCCCAGGGGAUGGGAGGCUUUUUGUUCCAGUAGUGGGGGUGGCAAUUGGGGUUUCUUUUGCCUCCAUCUGGCCACAAGCCUUCGGGUAAUUUGGGGGAAUUUCCUAUCAGUGAAGUUACUCUCUCAUCAGCUGACAGUUUCAAAAGCAAUUCAAGGGAAGAUAGGAAUGACAUCGAGAUAAAAAUGCAAUCACAGAAAGGUUGGGGGAAGUCUUCUUUCCUUCACCCACAAAUUCCUUGAUGCUGGAAAACAUCCCCCUUCCCCAUACCCUCCAAUUUGCUACAGGUUCUAACAUGAACAGCUUCUGCUGGGAGUAGCCGACUGUGCCAAAAUACAAUAGCUGCUGCUCCUCCUCUGUCCUCUCCCCAGAUGAUCACACGGUUCAGCUAUUGACAUCGCCCAGAAAAUGGAAGUUGCUCAGUGUUUACUAACCGUUCUGCUCCUCUCUGCUCUGCGCAGCCCUCUGUGGGGCAGCCAGCUCUCUGCUGUUUACAAGCCCAUCUGCUUCUGUUGCUUUUCUUCACCUGAAGUUACAGCACUCCGUUCAGGAUAUUUCUCGCAGUUGUGGUGGGAACUGUAAAGAGCAGAGGAGGAUUUCAGGUGGUAAGGAAGCAGUACGAAAAGAAGAAUACAAAUCUGUUCUUGUCUAAAUAGACCUAAAAAUAAGGAAAACAAGAAUAAGAUGGCAGAGGAAAUUCCAAACAGCCAAGGGUGGCUUCGGCAGAACAGUCAUUCCAAGGAGAGUUUUCCUUCUAUUUUUAUGAGAACUUUAACAUUUAGAAUCAAACCAGAAAGGAAAAUAACAUGUGCUCCAGUGACUAUUUCCCUGAAAUUACACUGCAGUUCCCUGCAUUUUCAAGUCUCUAGAGGCAGAGCUACAGGACUUCUUUGCCUAAACCUGUACUGCUGCUGCGAGCUGUUUAGUUCAGAGUUCUCCAUGCAGUUUAACUCAAGGCCACGUUUCCAUGGGUAAGAGGGGACCUUGGGAGUCAGAAAGACAUUGGAAACCUGUCUUCCCACACUAUGAGAACCUGGAGGCAACCCUCAGAACCAGAGCUGCUGUCCCAGCAGCUUGAGCCUGCAAGCAUGACUGCAGGAGGGACCAGAGGGGGCUCUCCAGAGUUUCAGGCAUUUAAAAGCUCUCUGUAGCCCAGCUAGCCAGCCAAGCGUGCCAUGCUGCAAGCCUGGGCAGGCUGCUGCAGACAUCCACAGGCUGUGUGCGAGGCAGCUGCGUGGAUGGGAGGCAGACUGCUGGGGAGCAUGCUGUGCUCACAAAUGCUGGUGCAGAUUGAGGGAAUAGCUCUGAGAGCCAAGUUCCCGCGUGCCACAGCCUCUCUGUGCCUGUGCCUGGCUCAGGAUGGGGACAGGGACUGCACUGCGAUGUCUGGGCACUGCCUUGGCCACUGGUAAUCGGCAGAAGGUGGCGGUGACUUUGAUCCCAGUUCACAGUGUUGGUGCUUAGCUUGGAAGAGAAAACAGAAACAUUUUACAGAACAUACACACAUUGAAGUUCACAUUCCGUGUGGGCAAAGCCUGAGAAGGACGAGGAAAUGCUUGUGAGGUCUCAGAAGAACACGCUGUAGGUCCCUUCUGUGCAGUUGGAUCACCGAUCUCCACCAUCUCAGGGUCAGAAACGUGCCUGGCUUAGAGAGCAACGUGAUGUCCCAGUUGGCAGCUUCCUGGUUCUGCCUCACCAGCUCAGCACGGCGUGCACAGAUCACGUCCCAAGUCUUGAGGCUAUUGAGAAAAGACGCUGUGAGCUCCUGGGAAGGGAGGAGCCUGCCAAGGCAGUCCCUCUGAGCAGCUAGGUGCAACACGCCAGCAGAAAGCAGUGCCUGUUGCAACGCUGCAGCUCUCAGGGCCUGCGUCAGGACCUCUCCACACACAUGCUCUUCAUUAGCGCUAACCCGGGAGCAGAAACAAGAGCAAAACCUCCAAGAGGAUUAAGCACAUGGAUGGGAGCUCUGAUGCAAGGACGGAUCCAACCUGAACUUCCUCCAAAACACGCAGUCAGAUCUGGUUGCUCUGGUUUGGAUCUGAAUCUGGCAAGAUGGAAAGCAGCGCAAUGAGAUGCUGAAAGAGGGGAGCAGAAAGAAAGGAAAACAGUUCCCUCCCUCUCACCCCAAAAAUGCAGUGGGCCCAGAAGCGUGCACAAUAAACUCCUCUCCUUUCCCUCACUUCGGGUUACAUUGUUCGCUUUCCUGCAAAUUGUUUCCACAUUCUGUAUAAAUAACCCCAUUGCCAGCGAGGGGGAGGGAGGGAGCAGAGGGGCACGGGGAGAAGGGGUGGGAGGAAAUCAGAUGUCUUUGUUAGUUUUCAAAAAGAAGGUGGAGGAUGGCGAGCAGCAGUUGGGAGCCGGGGCCUUGGCAGGCCGAGCAGAGAGCUGCCAUGGAGCUGUGUUCAGACCUGGAGGAAGAAGAGUAAACACGGGAGAGAUUAUAUAUAAUUACAGACAAUCAUGUUGCUGGGGAUAAACAGGAAUCAAAAGCAGGGAGGCACUGAAGUCUGGCACGUCCCCAAGCCCAGAACAGAAGCCAGCCAGCGAGAGGCAACGCGGCUGGAAAGUGCUUCCCCUUGGGCCUGUUUUCAGUUAGCUCAGGGGCUGGGUUUUUUUUCCCCCCUCUUUCUGGCUUGAGGCGUUCCCCCAUAAAGAGACGCGCCUGCUCACUGGGGAACGGGAGCCAAAGUGAAGUCAGCAGAAUCCCUGUCUGCGACAUUAAUAGAUUACUCUGUGAGAAACAUCAGGAACGUUUGGAAAAGAAACAGCCCGCUGAGGUCAGCAAAACCACCAACAACAGGAAUUUUGGAACAAAAAUGGCUUCAGAAGCACUCCAGAAGCUGUGCCUGCAUGUCCGGCGGGCGCUCUCCUUGUAUGGGGAAGUGACCCUAGAGAAGGAUGUGUAGGGAGGGCUGCACCUGAUGCUCCCAGCUCCCCUGGCUCCAGGGUUUGUGACAAAGCAUCCAGGUCAGAACCGUGCUACCCCAGCAGCAUCAGCACCUUUGUAUUUGCACAGCCUGAGAGAGGGAAGGAAAAAGAUUCUGCACGUACUGGAGGUGCUCUGGAUGCAGUCAGAAGAGCAGGCGCUGAUGCUCCAAGCGUUGCAGCUGAGGUGGGUGAUGCUGAGCACUCAACAGCGUCCUGCAAAGGAGGAGGGGGAAGCGAAGAAACAAAGCUGAGAAGCAAACUGAAAGGCACAUGGCCCACACGGGUGUUUUGUUGUUUUUGUUGUGUUUUUUUUUUUUUUAAAAAAAAAAAAAGGACCUUGAGGGAUUUGAAAGAGGAAAGCAGACUCGCUCAGCCUUCUUUCCCUUGAAGGCUCACUGAAGACUCAGAGGGAAGGCGACAUUGUGCCAAACAAAGGACGGCAACCUCAGCCGCUGACAGGAGGAGGGUGGUUCGGCAGUGUGAAAAGCUCUCUCCCAGGCACUAUUUUAAAUCCAAAUAGCUUACAGCCUGCUGAAUUCUUAAGCCAUUUUCCUCAUCUCUCAGCUGUUCUUCAUUGAGAAUUCAGGCAUAUAUUUCAAAGCAGCAACGCGGAGAGAAAAAUAUAUAUGUAUCUAUAUACAGAUAUACACAAGAAAUAACCAAACCUGUGGUUAAAAUCAGCAUAAGAGCACAGGAAGCAGGGCAUGCACAAAGGCUCUUCUACCUUCCCUCACUCACUAAAGGUGCUCUGAACAUCCUUUCCUAAGGAAAGAAAACUGAUUUUUUUUUUCAGGGAAAUGGCAUUUGCUCUAUGAGAACAGUGUCACAGUGUGGUGAAUGACACCGUUAUCUGGCUACCUGGGUAUAAUAUUUGAUGUAUUUUCUGUGAAUUCAUCAUCGUGAGCAUUUUUCCACCAGGAUUUCUAAUACUGACAAAUCCUCCACCAGUGCUGGGUAUGUGUGGGACAUAUAUGCAUGUGCAGAAGUGCACAAUCUCUCCCUUGGCCAUCUCAAAAUGUAGUGGUGGCACAGACAGGGUCAGUUUAAGCACAAAGUAGGAGCCACAUUCAACUCAAAGCUGCUGGAAAUAGAUUAGAGGGGGCAGAGGGAAUGGAACUGGAAGGCAUUUGAGAUCCAAGCCUUUUCUGCUACAAAAUUACAUUGGCUCUGUGAGGCCAUAUUUAAGCAAUCUGCACCCACAGUUCCUUCCAAAUAUCAGAUGUGAGCAUACAGAACCAAGAAUAAAACCAAGGUAGCAGAGGGGUCCCAACAAUAAGCUGGUUGUGUCCGUACGCCAUGCUGGGCAGAAACAGCACCAGGAGUUUGGCAACACGAUGAGAGAAAGGAAAGGGAGCUCUGGUCCUGACUUCUGUCCAAGGAGAAACGGGGUUACCGAUGUCCUGCAGUCACAGGUGAACACCAACCACAAGUCCCUGACAAAGGCAGGCCCCCAAACAGCCACACUGUGUUAUCAGAAAGCAAGAAUUAAAAUUUUAUCAAGAUGGAAAGAGCAGAUCCUAAGAGAACGUGGAUUUCAGAAGCAAUCACCGCAUCGUUCCGCAGGCACCUCGGUGUGACUCGCAAGGCAGACAGAAAAUCAGAAGAGCUCCACCUAAAUAGAAACACACAGCGACUGCUUCCGGAAAGAGCCCUUGAAAACCUUCAGUGAACAGCCUUUUUUCGUUGAAAUCUUCUGUUGCAAAUAUUGGUUAUUCACUGGAAACAUAAAGCCCAAAAGAUGCGACCAAGCGAUUUUAUUAGAAGUUUCUAUUUCUGCAGCAAAGCGGACAUCUCCAAAAAGGCACAACCAAUUUGCUGUACACUGACUGUCAGCAGAAAAGCAACUCUGAUGCUAAGUUUUUAAUUAGCCCAUAUAAAUGUACAUGCAAAUGGGCAUUUCAAAGGGAAAAGUUAUCCCUCAAACAAAAACUCAUCAACGACAUAAGCUACGGGAAAACAGCAAGCAGGAAUGUUCUGAUCCUGACAUGUACAGCAGCAGAUAAAUAAGGCCAAGUUAUCUCCUCCUGCCCCACCAGGGCUCCCAAAUGUCCAGAAAAAAGCUAUUUGUGAUACAGCUGCAGUGCCCAAGCUGCACUGCUGCUGAAGUACCAGGGACUGAGGUGCACACAAGACAGAAGGAAGACAAAGGGAAAGAGGAAGAUGAAUUAAUGAUCCGACACCAGUGAGAAAACAAGUACAAAUGCGGUCCCCAGAGUUAACACUGUGGGUUGCACGAGGAGCAGGAUCAAUAGGCGCUGUGCGGAGGGAGCCCAGCGCGGGGUUACGGCAGCCACGGUGGAAGUCCCCAGAUUACAAUAAGGCAGCUUGAAGGUGACAGAUUUCAUUGUUGAAGGUGAUAAAAUUCCAUGUGGCGUGCUGCAAAACAAGGGCUGGAGCUCAGCCUGCAGAAAAGGAGGCGGCACCGAGACGGC
ensembl:lncRNA